UACGGGAGGCAGCAGUGGGGAAUAUUGCACAAUGGGCGCAAGCCUGAUGCAGCCAUGCCGCGUGUAUGAAGAAGGCCUUCGGGUUGUAAAGUACUUUCAGUCGUGAGGAAGGUGUUAAGGUUAAUAACCUUAGCAAUUGACGUUAGCGACAGAAGAAGCACCGGCUAACUCCGUGCCAGCAGCCGCGGUAAUACGGAGGGUACGAGCGUUAAUCGGAAUUACUGGGCGUAAAGGGCACGCAGGCGGUUAAUUAAGUUGGAUGUGAAAUCCCCGGGCUUAACCUGGGAAUGGCAUUCAAGACUGGUUAGCUAGAGUCUUGUAGAGGGGGUAGAAUUCCAUGUGUAGCGGUGAAAUGCGUAGAGAUGUGGAGGAAUACCGGUGGCGAAGGCGGCCCCUGGACAAAGACUGACGCUCAUGUGCGAAAGCGUGGGGAGCAAACAGGGAUUAGAUACC
rnacentral:rRNA from 1 species